GACGAACGCUGGCGGCGUGCUUAACACAUGCAAGUCGAACGGAAAGGCCCUGCUUUUGUGGGUUGCUCGAGUGGCGAACGGGUGUGUAACACGUGAGUAACCUGCCCUUGACUUUGGGAUAACUUCAGGAAACUGGGGCUCAUAUCGGGUAGGAGCUCCUGCUGCACGGGGGUGGUUGGUGAGUUUCGGCGGUUGGGGAUGGACUGGAGGCUUAUCCGCUGGUUUGGGGGGUAGUGGCUUACCAAGGCUGUGACGGAUAGCCGGCAUGAGCGGGGGGCCGGCCACAAGGGGCCUGCGAUAGGGACCAGACUCCUACGGGCGGCAGCGGGGGGGAGUAUUGCGCAAUGGGGGGAAGCCUGAUGCAGCAACGCCGCGUGCGUGAUGCCGUCCUUCGGGUUGUAAACCGCUUUCGCCUGUGACGAAGCGUGAGUGACGGUAAUGGGUAAAGAAGCAACGGCUAACUACGUG
rnacentral:rRNA from 1 species